CGGGAGUGUUCUCCUGGAGUAGCGCGGGAGGGGUGGACUGCGGACUUCGCACCCCAGGCCUCGGCGGAUCGCGGUGGGCGGGGGUCGCGCCCGGCUCCCGGAGAGGCACUCUCCAGUGGUCAUCGCGACGACCCCCUCCGCGGCCCGGGCCGACUCGCCUGCGAAAUAGGAAUGGUGGUGCGUGUGUCGUGGGAGAGACCCGAGGGGCUGGGCCGGUGGCGGGGAGCCUUCGGUGACCGCCGGUCCCUGGUGCUUUGCACGGCGGAGGCAGGGCCGUCCUGCGCGGGCUCCAGGCGGUUUCUUCGGUCUCCUCACACUUUUUCUCCGUACAAGUGAUACAUUUUAGUCGUUAUUUGCGCCCCUUGCAAUCCGUGUACUCAGUAAGGAUCUAAAGAGGGCUACUGUAUCCCAAGAAAGAACAAGUGCUGGGAAAACCGGUAGGCAGGGUCCUUUCUUUCCAAGAAUUUAGAUCCUCUUUGAAGAGAGAGUAAAAACCUAAACAAACAAAAUCAAGCAAUUUCUCACACCGUCCGGUAUUUUCCAAGAAUAGGGGCCCUAUUUUAGUAUUUUAAUAGGAGUAGUUGCAGGAAAAGAUGACUAAGAAAGGAAGUGUUUGAAGCAGGAGGAAUACUGUGCAGAGAGGUGGAGGGGACUCAGUCUGAGGACGGGUCUUGUCAGGAAGAAAGAAAGGAUGAAAGUUAUGUCUACCUGCUCAGUUGAUUAGUUUUCAAGAUAGGAGGUUAUGUGAAUUAAUGCGUGUAGUAGUUUCACACCAGAACUCCUGAUUAAGUUCAUUUAAAUCCUGAUUUUUUUCAGUGGACAUUUCAUAAUUCUUCUUUCAGAGAUGAAAAGGGACUUUAUCAAAAUAGUCUUAUUCUUUCCCACAUUGGAAAUUUGGAGUUGGAAAGAAAGUGAGUUUUUUGUAAAUUAUUAAAAAUUAAUGUCAAUAAAUGUUUCAGAAAAGU